GAUGAACGCUGGCGGCGUGCCUAAUACAUGCAAGUCGAGCGAACAGACGAGAAGCUUGCUCCUCUUACGUUAGCGGCGGACGGGUGAGUAACACGUGGAUAACCUACCUAUAAGACUGGGAUAACUUCGGGAAACCGGAGCUAAUAACGGAUAAUAUUUUGAACCGCAUUGUUCAAUAGUGAAAGACCGUUUUCCUGUCUCUUAUAGAUGGCUCCGAGCCGCAUUAUCUAGUUGGUAAGGUUACGGCUUACCAAGGCAACGAUGCGUAGCCGAUCUGAGAGGGUGAUCGGCCACACUGGAACGGAGACACGGUCCAGACUCCUACGGGAGGCAGCAGUAGGGAAUCUUCCGCAAUGGGCGAAAGCCUGACGGAGCAACGCCGCGUGAGUGAUGAAGGUCUUCGGAUCGUAAAACUCGGUUAUUAGGGAAGAACAAAUGUGUAAGUAACUAUGCACGUCUUGACGGUACCUAAUCAGAAAGCCACGGCUAACUACGUG
rnacentral:rRNA from 1 species